UACGGAGGAUCCAAGCGUUAUCCGGAAUCAUUGGGUUUAAAGGGUCCGUAGGCGGUUUGGUAAGUCAGUGGUGAAAGCCCAUCGCUUAACGAUGGAACGGCCAUUGAUACUGCCAGACUUGAAUUACUAGGAAGUAACUAGAAUAUGUAGUGUAGCGGUGAAAUGCUUAGAUAUUACAUGGAAUACCAAUUGCGAAGGCAGGUUACUACUAGUGGAUUGACGCUGAUGGACGAAAGCGUGGGGAGCGAACAGG
rnacentral:rRNA from 1 species